CAUCUCUUCAUCAUUCAUAUUCUGCGUGCUUAUUAUUUCCCAAGUACUAGGUUAGGUACAGGAUAAAUGGAAAUCGAUAAUGUCGUCCUUAAGAAGUGUUGUGCAAAAAAAAAAAAAUAAUAAUUGUGGAAGAAACCUGUAAUUUGUCAGGUUAAGGAAUUAAAAAGGAGUUAUGCAAUAGAUAGGGUGAGGUUGAGGGUUGGAUUACAAAUGGAAUAAAGGUUGCCCACAUCUGAGUGUUGCCUGGAAGAUUAAAUGAGAAAUAUGCAAGACGAAGUGCACACGGCAUCUCUUCCUUCAUCCAGGCCCCGAGUGAGGUCCAGGGAUGCAAUGUCACGGCAUAGCCCCUGCCUCAGGAGACUUUAUACCAAUGUGGAUUGUUUCUGCAUUCUCCUUUACACGUGUGUCUAAAUCAUUCUGAGGAUAAUUUUGUGGUCAACUUCAUUUCUACCUGAAUGACAAAUUCCCUAUAUUCAAUUCCCAUGAUGCAAAAAUAGCAUUUAGUUUUAUUGGGCCUAAGAUGAUCUCUCUGCAAUAUUAAAAGGUGUCCCCUAGAGUAAUUUUUAAGUAUCUGAGGUUUUGUUAAGAUCAUUCUUUUCAUAAUUCAUAUCUUCUUUAACCUUUGUUAUUCCAGAUUUAAGAGAUGUUUUCAAGUCGUGUUCUCAGAAGCUUCUGAUCCUUAUCCUUCUGAUCAUUUGAGUUAUACCUGUCUGACUCUACUAUGUCUCCCUGCUGCUUUGAUAAAAGACAAUUUCACAUACUGUGGAGGUCAUCAGUCAAUCUAAUGUUUAUUAAUCAUCCCCUCAUUUCACAUGGCUUUCUCUGGACCCCUUGGGAGGAGACAAGGUAAUAAAUCCUAUCCUCCAUCCCAGGUUCAUGAUCAUUUGGAUAGACAAGGUAUAUAUAGAGAAAAUAUUUAAUAAUUAGAGUCCUGAAGGAGGGACUUUGCAGUGAACUUCAACAUCUCAAGCCUCCUUCUUCUCCCACUUCCAAACCACCCUGAAUCACGCGGGAGAAGUGAAAAUAUCUUUUAAAGACAUCAAGAGAAAAAUAUUUCACAAGCCUGUUCGAUAACUUUCUGAAAACACUCAUUGUUCAGGGUGCUGCUUAAAUGAUCUUUCUGCUUCUGCCGGUGGCAAGGCCCCUCCAGCUCUGAAAGCAUGCAGAGGACAGCCCAUUGUUCCCUUAACGCCUGAGCAUCAAUCACCUGGUCACCCAACACUCAGCCAGCUCUGCGCAGAAUGUUUCUAAGUGAUUUUGACUGCAAGACUUUUCGCCAUUGGGUCCACGUGGGAACCUCUCCCUCUGGCUCUCCUUACACCUCCACAUGGGUGGACACAUGGCCCCGGCCUCUGGAGGGAUGGAGAGGGAGGGUGCUUCUGGAGAGAGGAGAUCUGAUGGGGCUGGGGUCUCUCCAACCCUGCACGUGGCACCCUGUGAACUCACAGCCUUUCAUACCAGCUCCUUCCCUGGUCCUUAGCCCUUUCGUCAGUGCGGUUUAGGGCAAUGGUCACCUGAACGUUUGUUUUGACAGUCACAAAUUCCCAGAAACAGGGAAACGGAACUCGCUAGCGACGUUGUGUGGAUGAGUUUGCUUUAGGCUGGAACAAGCCUUGCCUUUGGGUAACGGGCUUCCGGGUGCGCCCUGGCCGGCUGUGUGCGCGCGGAAGGCGGUCACCUGGGCCCCCUGGGCGCGCGCGCCGCCCGCCCGCCCGCCUGCCCCGCGCGCACCUGCAGGAGGCUCUGGCGCGCUCCCUCCCUCCCUGGCUGCGCUGCGAAGGGCGCGGGAGAGGGGGAUUCUAGCAGCGCUGAAUCACUUUCCCACAGCCUCUGCGUGGGGAGCGCUUCCUCUGAUGCACGCCCUAUUUGUACUUCCUGAGUGCGCGUGGACUGCGGGCCCUGCUCGCCGCAGACUUGCCCGAAAUAGCAGCGCGCGGGCUCGGCUCCCCGCGCCGCCCGCAGCAUCUGCCUCCCCCUCCCGCCUCGUGGGCAACCGGGCGCGGCUGAGUCACGGUGACACUGAGUCACUCGCCAGCGUCAGGAAAUGCCUUUUUUAGACUUCCAGUUUGAAAUGGAGCAGCAGGUGACUUUUUAAAUUCGGUUUUGUGUUUUAUCUUCAAUUUCCCUGGGGGCAGUUCUUGCUGGUUUCACAUUUCCCCACGACUUGCUGCUUGGGGCAAGUUCCGCACCAAAUGUACCUAGGCGGAGCUCCGCCUUAAGGGAUAUUCAUUUUUCCGAUGUAAAUGAGGAAAUUCUGCAGACUGGUUUUGAAGCAGUCUUCGCUAGACACUCCAUGCAACAGUGUGUAUUUGAAGAAGAAACAGAGCGCUCCCGGGAAAUGUUGAAAAAGCAGAGCCCCAUUCAUCACAGCACAGGUUGAAGAGACCAGCUCUCCCCGAUAUUGGCAGAAUUUCCAUCACAGGAAUAAGCUUUUGAAAAGCAAACUGACAGAUGAGAGCAGUGAAAUCCACUGAGUGGGCCGUGGAGAACAGCUGUGUUUGAGAGGCAUCUCAGCGAUGUGAAUGAGGCCAGGAGGAGCCAUGAAGACGGCACUGCCUGUGGGGCCCCCGAUAAAUGAUGGCACUGAGCAAUUGGCAGGACUGUGGGCAUGGGAGGGGUCCCUAGGCCCCACCCCCCUCUGCUCCUGUUUGUGUAAUUAACAGCCCGCUUCCUAUCAGGUGCUCUGCCUUCAGUGCUCUCUGCUGCGGCUCUUACCAGCGAGGACUGGAGGGGCGGCUCCUUUACCUGCCCUGUCCUGGUUUUUGCUCCCGCCUGCCCCGUGAGCCAGGGGAUGCACUCACAGCUGCUCUUUUUGAUGUAUAAAGUGUGUUUGAACAUUAUGCCAAAUAUCAAAAUGUGAAGGACUAAUCCAGGAUGCAAAAACGUUAUGGGGGGUUGUAAAUACGAACUAUACAACAGUUUAGGAUGCAAUUAUGAGUGUAAACUGUGUGCCUUAUUUAUACUUCAUUGUCUCCAGCUUCUCAGAUAAAGUUUUGAUGUGUUGUACAGUGGAAUAUCUUAGAUACUUUUUGGAAAGUUUUUACAUAAGUUAUAUCACAAUUAAAAUGUUGAAUUUCAAAAAAAAAAAGAGGCAUUCGUUUGAGAUUGCCUGGGGUCCUGUGGUUUGCUGAAUAAGACUCAGUGUGGGGAACUGUAGACUCUUCCUGAGAAGCUCAAUUCCAAAAGGAAAAGGAAAAUGCCGACUGGGAUUCCCUGACAGGCAUUGGUUAGCUGCUGUCUCUGUCCACUGAUAACUGGAGCUUUCAGAAAGGCAUCCUCUGCAGCCCAGCAUCAGCUUCUCCGCCUGCUGUUCCCUCCGGGAGGCGGCCCGCACCUCAGAAGCAGACACCGUUGUGCCUGGGUCCGGUGGCGUCUGGCCAACAGGGGCUGGAUGGGGGGCAACAGCAGCAGGAGGAGGACAGAGGAGGUGUUUACUCAGGGUCUCCUGUUAGGGUGCUGUGGGGUGUUGGGUUUCUCUGCUGGAAGCUGCAGCUCUGGUCACCACC
rnacentral:lncRNA from 1 species